rnacentral:tRNA from 1 species
GCCUAGGUGGCUUAGUUGGUUGAGCGUCUGACUUCAGUUCAGGUUAUGGUCUCAUGGUUGGUGAGUUCGAGCCCCACAUUGGGUG